CAGCAGCAGCCGCGGUAAUACGAAGGGGGCUAGCGUUGCUCGGAAUCACUGGGCGUAAAGGGUGCGUAGGCGGGUCUUUAAGUCAGGGGUGAAAUCCUGGAGCUCAACUCCAGAACUGCCUUUGAUACUGAAGAUCUUGAGUUCGGGAGAGGUGAGUGGAACUGCGAGUGUAGAGGUGAAAUUCGUAGAUAUUCGCAAGAACACCGGUGGCGAAGGCGGCUCACUGGCCCGAUACUGACGCUGAGGCACGAAAGCGUGGGGAGCAAACAGGAUUAGAUACCCCUGUAGUCCCUGUCUCUUAUAU
rnacentral:rRNA from 1 species